GGCCCCUUAGCUCAGUGGUUAGAGCAGGCGACUCAUAAUCGCUUGGUCGUUGGUUCAAACCCAACAGGGGCCAC
rnacentral:tRNA from 2 species